GCGGGGCUGGCCGGCCAGCGGCCUCCUCCUCCCGCUGUAGCCGCUGCGUGAGGGGGCGGGGCAGGCUGGCCGAGGCCUCCGGGUCAGUGCAGAGGCCACGCCCGGGACGGCGGUCUGCUCCAUCGGCACCGUGCAGACAGGCCUCCCACCUUCGGCAGAGGACUCUGCAGGGGGACAGAGUUCAGGCCACAGGAAGGACCAGGGACGCUGAGACCAGGACAGCCGGGAGAGACCACUUUGGGUGUGCUGGGGCAGAUUUGCCCCCUCCUACUUCAUCAUUGUGAGGAGGAGGUGGCCCUGGACACAGCAGCUGAGCAUCACCUGAAACCAACAUCCGGGGCUUGUGCAAACCAGUAAAUAUCCUUGACAGUUUCCUCACCUAGAAAGAAGCAGCCCUGACCCACUGCUACGAGUACGGACGCAGACAACAGAUUGCAGACCUGAAGCAAGCACUUCUGAGUAUGCCCAGGAGAGUGCUUAGUCUGUGUGCUCACUGUUGUGACCAGGGACUGCAGGAUAUCACCCACACACAGGCACACAUUUGGGUGUUCAGAGUUGGCUAUGCAUUCUUGUAUUUCUUGUCUUUAUAACUUAAGAGAUUCCUGCCCCAUACCCGAGUUCUUCCCUCUGUGAAGUGGUGGGAAUAAAGUUUUCAAGUUUAAAAGCUGUGAA